UACGUAGGGCGCAAGCGUUGUCCGGAAUUAUUGGGCGUAAAGAGCUCGUAGGUGGCUUGUUGCGUCUGCCGUGAAAGCCCGUGGCUUAACUACGGGUCUGCGGUGGAUACGGGCAGGCUAGAGGCUGGUAGGGGCAAGCGGAAUUCCUGGUGUAGCGGUGAAAUUCGUAGAUAUCGGGAGGAACACCAGUGGCGAAGGCGGCGACCUGGGCCAAUACUGACGCUGAGGUGCGAAAGCGUGGGGAGCAAACAGG
rnacentral:rRNA from 1 species